GAUGAACGCUGGCGGCGUGCCUAAUACAUGCAAGUCGAGCGAACGGACGAGCAGCUUGCUUUUCUGAUGUUAGCGGCGGACGGGUGAGUAACACGUGGAUAACCUACCUAUAAGACUGGGAUAACUUCGGGAAACCGGAGCUAAUACCGGAUAAUAUUUUGAACCGCAUGGUUCAAAAGUGAAAGACGGUCUUGCUGUCACUUAUAGAUGGAUCCGCGCUGCAUUAGCUAGUUGGUAAGGUAACGGCUUACCAAGGCAACGAUGCAUAGCCGACCUGAGAGGAUGAUCGGCCACACUGGGACUGAGACACGGUCCAGACUCCUACGGGAGGCAGCAGUAGGGAAUUUUCCGCAAUGGGCGAAAGCCUGACGGAGCAACGCCGCGUGAGUGAUGAAGGUCUUCAGGUCGUAAAACUCUGUUAUUAGGGAAGAACAUAUGUGUAAGUAACUGUGCACAUCUUGACGGUACCUGAUCAGAAAGCAACGGCUAACUACGUG
rnacentral:rRNA from 1 species